rfam:Gossypium arboreum cultivar AKA8401 contig_481_11, whole genome shotgun sequence.
AAUAGGAAGAUGACAAAUUAAAUUUUUCCUCCUGAUUUUCAGCUUAUUCCUCUUAGAAAAAUUUAAAUCCAACUAAAAAUGCCAAAAAUUAAGAGAAAAAAUCUAAUUUGUUAUCCUCAUAUU